GGGGUAACAGGGCUCCAGCAUUCCAUAUGGAACUGCAGGCAGGGUGCACGGCAGAGGGAAGAGCCCAGAAGAUGCUCCUCUCCUGCUCAUCUGCCUCCUGCCCAGGGCUAGCGGGAAGAACUGUCUCCGCUGCUGGUCAGACUUGCCUGCCCCGAUUGACUACGAUCUGAAGAUUCUCUGGGGCACCCCAGGGCCUCCCACAGAACUCUCCAAGAGCCUCCACUCCCUCUUCCAAGAGGACAGCAUCUUGCUCCAGCACCGGUACCUUGAUCAGGAUCUUGUAGAAGAGGAGACAGCCAAAUUCUUCAACCAAGUAGACCAAGCCACUGGGAAGUUUAGAGAUGACAAAACAUCACUUCUGAAAGAGACUGAUAUGCACAAGGAUCUCCUUGCUGAGAGGCUGAACAAAAGAGCUGAGAAGCUGAGGGAGCAGGACACCAGAUGAAAGGAUGAACGGAAAGGAAGGAAGAUAAAGGCACAGGAAAGAGAAAAAAAGAAGAAAAAAGAGGGAGGAAAAAAAUAAAAGAAAAAAACAACAACCAAACAGAACCCCCAUGCAGUGGCAAGAAAACAAAAUCAAACCCACCUCCCUGUCCAUUUAUAUUGUAGUCUGAGUUCAAUUGCAGGACCUCACACUGGCCUCUCUAUGAUUUCCUCAAUUGCCUGUUGUGAGUGAGCAAGGUUACAGAUAUAAACAGCCACCUGCUGCAAGCUGUGCACCAUGGAAACCAACAAAAUCAUCAUUGUACCACCUUUACCAACAGAAAAGAGAUCUAUAAUAACAUAGACACAAUGACAAAUCAAAUAUUAUAUUAAUAUAUAAUAAAUCUAAAUGUGGCAUUAACAAUAGAAUAUUAACAAUAGAAUUCAAUGAUAAUAGCAGUCAACUAAAUAUCUAAAAAUUAAUAUGGUUUAUAGUAAUACUAAUUAAAUAGAGGUGGAAAAGGGAAAAAUAAAAGAAGUAAAUUUUGAAAAAUAAAAGAAAAAUGCAAAAGAGAGAAAGUGAAACAAAAUACCAAAUUAAAGCAUAAAGGAAAAUUAAUAAUACUGAUAAAUGUAACUGAAAAGAACAAACAAGAAAAAUAAAGUUAAAAAAGGAAUGCAACAAAGAGAAAAAAAAAGGGAAAAAAGACAAAAUAGAAAAAAGGAAAACAGAAAUGAGUCCAAAAUAGUCCUCUCUGUGUUUUAAAGAGUGGUUUAUUUCCAGGGCCUGUGGUAUUGAAAUCCACUAGGGAGAUAGUGAGUCA
rnacentral:lncRNA from 1 species